rnacentral:misc_RNA from 1 species
CGUGGGAGCGGGCUGGCUCGCGAUGCAGACACCGCGGCAUUCAGUUGAACCGCGCUGAUGCCAUCGCGAGCAAGCCCGCUCCCACA